UACGUAGGGGCGAGCGUUGUCCGGAAUUAUUGGGCGUAAAGGGUACGCAGGCGGUUCUUUAAGUCUGAUGUGAAAUCUCACAGCUUAACUGUGAGCGGUCAUUGGAAACUGAGGAACUUGAGUAUAGAAGAGAAGAGUGGAAUUCCAAGUGUAGCGGUGAAAUGCGUAGAUAUAGGAAGGAACAUCAGUGGCGAAGGCGACCACCUGGACUGAUACUGACACUGAGGUGCGAAAGCGUGGGGAGCAAACAGGAUUAGAUA
rnacentral:rRNA from 1 species